AGUGAACGCUGGCGGUAGGCCUAACACAUGCAAGUCGAACGGCAGCACAGUAAGAGCUUGCUCUUACGGGUGGCGAGUGGCGUACGGGUGAGGAAUACAUCGGAAUCUACUUUUUCGUGGGGGAUAACGUAGGGAAACUUACGCUAAUACCGCAUACGACCUACGGGUGUAAGCAUUGGAUCUUCGUACCUUUCUCUUUUUAAUUAGCCGAUGUCGGAUUAGCUAGUUGUCUGGGUAAAGGCCCACCAAGGCGACGAUCCGUAGCUGGUCUGAGAGGAUGAUCAGCAACACGGGAAGUGAGAAACGGUCAAGAAUCCUACGGGAGGCAGCAGUGGGGAAUAUUGGACAAGGGGCGCAAGCAUGAUCAAGCAAUACCGAGUGGGUGAAGAAGGCCUUCGGGUUGUAAAGCCCUUUUGUUGGGAAAGAAAAGAAGCAGGUUAAUACCCAGCUGUUCUGACGGUACCCAAAGAAUAAGCACCGGCUAACUUCGUG
rnacentral:rRNA from 1 species